AACGAACGCUGGCGGCAGGCCUAACACAUGCAAGUCGAGCGAGGACUUCGGUCCUAGCGGCGGACGGGUGAGUAACGCGUGGGAACGUGCCCUUUGCUUCGGAAUAGUCCUGGGAAACUGGGAGUAAUACCGGAUGAGCCCUUUGGGGGAAAGAUUUAUCGGCGAAGGAUCGGCCCGCGUUGGAUUAGGUAGUUGGUGGGGUAAUGGCCUACCAAGCCGACGAUCCAUAGCUGGUUUGAGAGGAUGAUCAGCCACACUGGGACUGAGACACGGCCCAGACUCCUACGGGAGGCAGCAGUGGGGAAUCUUAGACAAUGGGGGAAACCCUGAUCUAGCCAUGCCGCGUGAGCGAUGAAGGCCUUAGGGUUGUAAAGCUCUUUCAGCUGGGAAGAUAAUGACGGUACCAGCAGAAGAAGCCCCGGCUAACUCCGUG
rnacentral:rRNA from 1 species